rnacentral:rRNA from 1 species
AUUGAACGCUGGCGGCAGGCUUAACACAUGCAAGUUGAGCGGGGUGAUGGUGCUUGCACUAUCACUUAGCGGCGGACGGGUGAGUAAUGCUUAGGAAUCUGCCUAUUAGUGGGGGACAACAUCUCGAAAGGGAUGCUAAUACCGCAUACGUCCUACGGGAGAAAGCAGGGGAUCACUUGUGACCUUGCGCUAAUAGAUGAGCCUAAGUCGGAUUAGCUAGUUGGUGGGGUAAAGGCCUACCAAGGCGACGAUCUGUAGCGGGUCUGAGAGGAUGAUCCGCCACACUGGGACGGAAACACGGCCCAGACUCCUACGGGAGGCAGCAGUGGGGAAUAUUGGACAAUGGGGGGAACCCUGAUCCAGCCAUGCCGCGUGUGUGAAGAAGGCCUUAUGGUUGUAAAGCACUUUAAGCGAGGAGGAGGCUCUUUUGGUUAAUACCCAAGAUGAGUGGACGUUACUCGCAGAAUAAGCACCGGCUAACUCUGUGCCAGCAGCCGCCGUAA